CUCCAAAUAGAAUUUUGCUUCUUUAAAACCUAUUCCACUAUCUCAACUCACCCAUUCCCACCUCUGCAGCAAGUUUUAUAAAGUAAUAGAGUGAAGAUUAUUCAUCUCAUUCAAUUCUUCUUCACAAUUGGCUUCUAAUCUAUGCCAUAUAUAAAAUCUGCAGAGACUAAUACCAUACACCUAUUCAAGGUUCAAAUAAACAAAAGCGUCUGAGUAACCUAUCGCGCUAAGGAAAGAGAAUCGUUGUCUUAAGUAGCAAAACACUGCAAUCAGGUUGAGCUGAUGUGAUGAUGGUGCUGCAAUGAGCGGAGUCUCCAGGGUUGUUAAUAAAUAGUUAACCUGUCUAGAAUAUGUCUUCAUACAUAUGUCUAGCUACUUUCCGCUGCAAGAUGUUGUUGAUGUUAUAGUAUGUUAUGUCAUACUUUGAGUCUUAAGAGAAUGGUUUCAUAUGAUGUAUAACUUGAUUAAUGAUAUUAAUUAAGUUUUAUGCUGUC